CUCAAGGGGGCAUCCAAUGGACCUCACCUGUGGUGUCUUAAAAAAAAACACACACACAACACGAGCCUUUCUACGCACACCAUACAGAGAUUGUCUUUGGCUAAGGGAAGACUGUAACUGCACAAGGAAGAAGGAAGCACUGCAUUAGCGAGUCCUGAAGAUCCUUUCCAGCUCUUUGAUUAUAUGACAUUCUGACUAGCACAAAGAGGCACACCUGCAAUCCUACUGAGAGUUCCAUGGAUCAUUAAUGAUUAUUCAUGGUGAAGGAAGCAGAGUUCUUAAGAAUAACUGUACAAUGUGCUAGGAGUGCAACAUCCCUGAGAUAAGGAGAGACUGACUGGAACAGCAUGGGCUCAGUGCCAGUUCCACCCUAAAAGGAGGAUGUUCUUCAAUGCUUUAAAUCAGCAACUCACAUGACCUCAAGAUAUCAAACAUGGGAAUGGCGGGCUGCUUUCCAUGCUCCCCUCUCUGUGGUUCUGGUGGGAAAUACCCAGAGGAGACUUCACCUGCCCUGGGCAGCUUUCCUGAGCCUUGGGCCAGCUCACAGUGAGUCCUAGGCUUCUGUUGUUCCUUGCUGCCUAACUGUAAGUAUUAAUAAUAAAACUCAAAUAAGUUGGUAAUCAGUGCACAGUGAACCUGCUUCACAGCAAUAUUUUU
rnacentral:lncRNA from 1 species